rnacentral:rRNA from 1 species
AUACGGAGGGGGCUAGCGUUGUUCGGAAUUACUGGGCGUAAAGGGCGCGUAGGCGGACAAUUAAGUCAGAGGUGAAAGGCCUGGGCUCAACCCGGGAACUGCCUUUGAAACUGAAGGUCUAGAGACAGCGAGAGGAUAGCGGAAUUCCCAGUGUAGAGGUGAAAUUCGUAGAUAUUGGGAAGAACACCAGUGGCGAAGGCGGCUAUCUGGCUCGGUACUGACGCUGAGGCGCGAAAGCGUGGGGAGCAAACAGAAUUAGAAACCCCGGUAGUCC